CUGAAGAUGAUUUCGAAAACCUCCAAAAAGACCUCAGUAAUUCACACAGAAAAUCCAGAAACAGAUUCAUGUUUAUGGGGAAAUUUAGUAUUUGAUACAGGAGACCUUUCAAAGCCAAGCUGGAAAGAUGGAAGGUCAACAGAGGCUUUGGGGAAAACUCACUAUCCAUUUUGAAACCAAUGUUAGAAUCUUCUUACCAUUUGCAAGAAUAAACUCCAGGUGUAUUAAAGAGCUAAACAUUUAAAAAAUCUAUAAAAGUUUUAGAGCCAAAUAUGGAAGAAUAUUUUUAAAAUCCUAUGGUGAAGAAGGCUUUUACUAAGCAGCAAACAAAACCUGGAAACCGUAAAGGAAAUGACUGACAGAUUUGAAUAUUGCAAAAACUAAAUGAAUGCCUCCUUAAACAAAUUAAAGGACAAAUUCCAGGCAGGGAGAAAAUAGUUUACAAUAGAAGUAAUGUGCCAAUGGUUAAUAUCUGUGUUGCAUAAACAUGUCUUUCCAAUCAAUAAGAAAAGAGUAGGAAAUGGGUAAGGAUUUAACAGGCAAUUCACAGAAGACAAAGUAACCGGCCCCUAAAUAGGAGCAUAUCCUCAACUUCACUAGUAAUAAAGGAAACGAAUUUAAAAGACGAUACAUUUCUCACGUCUUCUCUCCUUAUAGCUGUAUUCCACCUUUGACCAUACAGCCUGUUUUUAUUUAUCGUAAGCAUAGGUUAAUAAAUACAGGGCUUACCAUGUUAAUAUCUUCUUUCUAUGGAUGCGUAACAACUUAUUUUAUCAUUCUGUUUGUGACUGAAAUUGAAUUUCUUUCUGUAAACCUGAAAAUAUCUGAGACAAGCCUCGAUCAACUUAGAAGUUUACUUUGCCAAGAUUAAGGACACGUCUUGGGAGACAGGUCUGUGCCUUUCUCCAAAGAUGAUUUCGAGGGCUUCAGUAUUUAAAGGAAAAAGCCAGCUGGAGGGGACAGAGGGAGGGUAUGGUCACAUUACUGAAUCCAAAUGUUGCAAAAGAAAAGGAGCAUGUAGGGGAAUGGUCAAUUAUGUGUUCGUCCCAUGCUCAGUAACUCGACUCUUCACACAAGAUAAGGCCACUGCCUUCAGAGAAGGUGACAGAGGGCCAUGUCUGAAACAUUCUCCCACAACCAGGAACCCUCAGCAGCUGCUGAAGAGGAAAGGCAGUUAAAUGGAAAGACUUCUGAGCAAGUGGAAGAAAAGUCACGUGUGACCUAGGGAGGGGCUCCCACAGGAAGGGGCAAUGCCCUUGCCCUGUUCACCUAGCCUCCAGGUGGCUCCCCACUUGAAAUUUCAGAGGAUGGCAGAAACCUACUUACAAGGAAAUGAAAGAGGGCACAGCAACCUUAAGACCAGAGCAGCCCACAAUAUUUUUUAAUGAGGGCAAAAAUAGGAGACUUGCAAAAGACCCCUGAAAAUAAUGCCUGGAAGCUGCGAAACAUCAGACUGACACCGCACAAAAGAGGUCCAGCUGAGCAGGAGAAAAGCUUGAGAAGCAUCCAGAACAAUGUAGGUGGAGAGGCUAAGAAGAAAGAGGAGCCCACAUGGAAUGAAUAACCAAGGUCGGGACAGAGGAAGGUUCGCCAGAACUGGGAGGGCUGAAAUUGGACAUUGAGAUAAGUUAAAGAGUGUUCUUUAAAACUGUCAAGACUUUGGCUGGUCAAUAAGUAAACUGCAAACGAGUGUUCCUAAACCACAGCAGCAAUGCUCCCUGGAGGAGGGAAGGAGGCCGGGGCUGCCACUCUCCCAGCUGGCUGCGUCCCGGCCUUUGCCAUUGAUGUGUGCUUUCUCCAGGCUCACAGAUGUCCCUGGGCCGGUUGCAUCUGUGACCAGGACUCUGCCACCUGCCUGUGGCUGGCUGAUCAGCUGGUCACCCAGGAAUGUUAGGGAUGAACAGAGACCUAGAACUCAGGCUCCAUGGAUCUGGCAGCACCAGGAGACGAGGUUUCAAAUCUCAUGGCUGGGCCAGCCAGCCAGGUGCCCUGGAACUGUUGUGAUCCCUGCUCCUUGCCGGGCUUAGCCUCCUCUUACUUCAGCCCAGAAGUCCCCGAGUACCCACUCAACAAAUGCCAUCCCUUUAAUUUCUGUGGCCUGCUGCCAUCACGACUCGCCUAAUUCAUUCCCUCCACACCCUAAGUGUCCACAGAAGUGGCUGAAACAGUAAAACCACAGAGGAGCAUUCAUUCCAGUCCCCAAGGCGAGCCCCCUCCUUUGCACCCUGCUGUUUGGUUGAUUUCUUCUUUCUUCACUUCCCAGGAUGUGGAGCAGAUUCCCUGUGGCAUGAUUACCUGAGGCCAGGUACAGACUGGCUCCAGGGAAGCACAGGGCUGGGGUCCCAGUUCCCACACCGGGCCAUUCAUUAACAGGUGGGAAGAGUUCCACCACUUCUGAGGAAUUAGCAGGCUCCAGGUGACCCUAUGUCACCCCAAAUGACUCUCCAUUCCCCACAGACUCAGCCACAGGGCCAACAGUUUCUAUUGCUAUCUUUCCCUCCAGAAAACCCCUGGGCCAUCUCGCCUGCCCAGCUCCUGCUCCUCCCCAAGGGAGGGCUACAGUUAAAGAAGGGAAAGUGGCUAAUUCACUAAGUAAUUAACUUAAGGAGUGUCUAUUGAACAUCUACUGUGUGCAAGAUGCUGUUCUAGAUUUGAGAUACAAAACAGGGAAAGAGAAGGCCCUGCUCUCACGGAUGGGCAUUAGAAGAGUGGGGUUGAUAAACACGAGGAUCAGUGAAGAGCAUUCCAGGCAGGAAUAAGCACUGCAGAGGAAAGAGGAUGAGAUGAGAAGGGAGAGCGAGCGAGCAGCAGUGGGGGAGGUGUCCGUGGGGUUGAGUCUGGACGAGGGGAGGGAAGCAGCCAGUGCUUAGCAGGAAGACAGGGCAGGGGUGCAGCUCCCAGAAGGAGACAAAGAGGACCUUUCGAAGGUCUGCAGGUGGCAGGAGGGGCAGAGGAGGCUGGACCCAGGUAAGAAGUCAUUGCAGGGGUCCAAGCCAGGAGAGGACAAAUCUGAUGGAGGUUUAAAAGGCUCAGUUGUCUGCCUGGUGGAGAAGAGACGAAGGGGCAGAGGGGGAAAAAGUGAUGGACUAAGGAUAGAUUUUGGAGGCAGAGCAAACAGGAGAGCAUGAAAGAAACAGAGAAUCAAAGAUGAUGUUUAGGCCAGGGGCGGUGGCUCAUGCCUCUAGUCCCAGCACUUUCGGAGGCUGAGGUGAGAGGAUCGCUUAAGCCCAGGAGUUCAAGACCAGCCUGGGCAACAUAGCAAGACUGCAUCUCUAAAAAAAAAAAAAAAAAAAAAAAAAAUUAGCCAGGUGUGGUGGUGCACACUUGUAGUCUCAGCUACUUGGGAGGCUGAAGUGGGAGAAUCGCUUGAGCUGGGUAUGUUGAGGGUACAAUGAGCCAUGAUUGUGCCACUGCACUCUAGCAGUGGAUGACAGAGUGAGGCCCUGUCUCAAAAAGAAAAGAUGAUGAGUUAUUGGUUUGGGACCAUUUUCUGACCUAGGGAAGACAGAGGAGAAGCUGGCUUGUGGGUGAGUGGUAUCUGGAGCUCCGUUUUGGCCAGGUUACAUUCCAGGCGCCUCCUCGGGGUCUGGGAGGAGCUGUGGAGAACCCAGACAUGACUGUAGGGGUGAAGCAUUUCUGGCCUGUGUAAGCACACACCUGGUGGCCACAGGGCCUGGGCUGUCUGAGAGAGGUCUGGUUUGAGAUGUGUCAACGUCAGACUCUAAAUGCCUCUCACCCCAGGGCUCAGGUAGCCCCUUCCGUGCCUGUCCAGAAGACCCUGCAGAAAGUGCUCAUGGUGGUGUCAUCUCACCUGCAGUAUUUGUUCCUAAAUCAGCACAAGUCGGAUCCUAGCAAGGGCCAUGGAAUAUGCUUAGAGGGUGACACAUACACUGCCACUGCCUAUUUCUAUUCAUGAACUCACUUUUGAAAGUGUCCCAUUUUGAGAUAAUUUUAGACUUAUAGAAGAGUUGCGAAAGCAGCCUCCCCACCCCCAGCCUCUUCUCAUGCCGGCAUUCCAUGAAUCAGAGUGCGAUUAUGAGAGCUGAGACUCACCUCGCCGUGGUCUCGAGAGCUGGACGGCAGGCAGGCCCCCCCCAGCGCCCUCCUCUGUUCCCAGCUCCCACGUGCAUUUGGCUGUCACCUCUCUCUGUCUCCUUUCUGUGUCAGGGCCGGCUUUUUAAGAGGAUGGGUCUGUCGCUCUUGGACAGUCUCUCCGCCUAGGUCUGCCUGACGCCUUCUCUGCAUUGGACUGAGGUAAUGCCUUUUUGGAAAUUCCAUGGCAAUGCCACAGAAGUGAUGUGCAUUUUCGGUGGGCCAGAUCAGUGGGUGUGGGCUGUUAGUGUGCCUUGUGCCUGGUCAUGCCAACUUUGAUCUCUUGGUUAGGGUGGUGCCUGCCAGGGUUCUCCCCCAUCAACUCACUGUUUUUCCUUUGUAACCAUUAAAUAUUCAAAGAGAUGCUUUAAGGCUACACAGAGACACUGUUUGUGCUUAGAUCUCUGUCUGCUAAUUUUACUAUCCUCUGGUGAUGUUGCCUCAGCUGUGCUCCCUGCAGUCCUCUGGUGCUCAUCGUCUUCGUCUCUCAUUCGUUCCACAUUUAUUAAUUGCGAUUCAUCUGUAAGAAAGCAGUUAACUCACUUUUAAACGUCAAUAAUUAAGCCAUACACCAGUUGAUAGCCUGUGGGGCAGGAGGAAGAGCAAGGCCUUCAGUCAGUCCAAAGGGUGGCUCGAGUAAUUUUUUAACUGAGCACUUUUCUCUGCUUGCAGGCUGACCCUUGGUUGCAUUUGGCCUCUCUAACUUUGCCCCAUCUCUGCUGCUGAGGUCAGCAGCCCAAGAACGAGCCUUGCACGGGCUUUGGGGGCCCUCUCCAGAGAAAAUCGGGUUCCUUCUUUCCCUUCCAAGCAUCUCUGCUCCCUUUGCCCUGCCGCUAGGAAGAAACCUCCCUGUCAGAGCCUCUCUACUUCUAAAGCCAAGUCUUUUGCCAGUGGCCCUGCCCCUCCAUACACACACACACACACACACACACACAGAUACGUACACAUACACACGUGCAUGUCCAUGCAUGCAUAGAUACACACAAACAUGUAUAUAUGUGCAUAUAUACAUACUUCUAUGGAUUCAUAUAUACACAUAAUACACACAUACACAUGUGCACAUAUACAUGCACAUGCAUGCACUUAUACGCACAUGCAUAUAGAUACACAUAGAUGCACAUGAGCAUGCACACACAUAUAUACACACAUGCAUAUACAUACAUAUACACAUACAUAUAUGCUCAUAAACAACUACAUACAUAUAUAAAUAUAUAUUCCAAUAACAGCUGUCAGAUCAUUGUUUUUAAAAAGCAAACAAUCACAGAAGACACAAACAGCUUAGGCUCUUCUACAGCCUGCUGGUCCUUACAACAACUUUAAGAGCAGAUACAGUUACUAUCCACUUUGGAAGAUGAAGAACCUCCAGCUUCCUUGGCCCAAGCCUACACUUCUAGUGAGGGCAACGCUGGGAACUACAUCCAGGCCUUUGCUCAAAGCCUGUCUCUGUACCCCAGUCACCAUAUGCUGCUCUAAGAUUAGUUUCCCGGUUGGUUUGGUCAAAAGGCCCAAACCAACCCAGGAUACAAAGUAUGGCACUGAGGAUACAAAGGCAUCCACAUUCGUAUCCCGAGUGCCAUGGCCAGAUCAGUGCCU
rnacentral:lncRNA from 1 species